rnacentral:rRNA from 1 species
UACGGAAGGCAGCAGUGGGGAAUAUUGCACAAUGGGCGCAAGCCUGAUGCAGCCAUGCCGCGUGUAUGAAGAGGGCCUUCGGGUUGUAAAGUACUUUCAGUCGUGAGGAAGGUGUUAAGGUUAAUAACCUUAGCAAUUGACGUUAGCGACAGAAGAAGCACCGGCUAACUCCGUGCCAGCAGCCGCGGUAAUACGGAGGGUGCGAGCGUUAAUCGGAAUUACUGGGCGUAAAGGGCACGCAGGCGGUUAAUUAAGUUGGAUGUGAAAUCCCCGGGCUUAACCUGGGAAUGGCAUUCAAGACUGGUUAGCUAGAGUCUUGUAGAGGGGGUUAGAAUUCCAUGUGUAGCGGUGAAAUGCGUAGAGAUGUGGAGGAAUACCGGUGGCGAAGGCGGCCCCUGGACAAAGGACUGACGCUCAUGUGCGAAAGCGUGGGGAGCAAAC